GUCGAACGAUGAAGCCCAGCUUGCUGGGUGGAUUAGUGGCGAACGGGUGAGUAACACGUGAGUAACCUGCCCUUGACUCUGGGAUAAGCGCUGGAAACGGCGUCUAAUACCGGAUACGACCUGCCCCGGCAUCGGGUGUGGGUGGAAAGUUUUUCGGUCAAGGAUGGACUCGCGGCCUAUCAGCUUGUUGGUGAGGUAAUGGCUCACCAAGGCGACGACGGGUAGCCGGCCUGAGAGGGUGACCGGCCACACUGGGACUGAGACACGGCCCAGACUCCUACGGGAGGCAGCAGUGGGGAAUAUUGCACAAUGGGCGCAAGCCUGAUGCAGCAACGCCGCGUGGGGGAUGACGGCCUUCGGGUUGUAAACCUCUUUUAGUAGGGAAGAAGGACUUCGGUUUGACGGUACCUGCAGAAAAAGCACCGGCUAACUACGUGCCAGCAGCCGCGGUAAUACGUAGGGUGCAAGCGUUGUCCGGAAUUAUUGGGCGUAAAGAGCUCGUAGGCGGUUUGUCGCGUCUGCUGUGAAAACCCGAGGCUCAACCUCGGGCCUGCAGUGGGUACGGGCAGACUAGAGUGCGGUAGGGGAGAAUGGAAUUCCUGGUGUAGCGGUGGAAUGCGCAGAUAUCAGGAGGAACACCGAUGGCGAAGGCAGUUCUCUGGGCCGUAACUGACGCUGAGGAGCGAAAGCGUGGGGAGCGAACAGGAUUAGAUACCCUGGUAGUCCACGCCGUAAACGUUGGGCGCUAGAUGUGGGGACCUUUCCACGGUUUCCGUGUCGCAGCUAACGCAUUAAGCGCCCCGCCUGGGGAGUACGGCCGCAAGGCUAAAACUCAAAGGAAUUGACGGGGGCCCGCACAAGCGGCGGAGCAUGCGGAUUAAUUCGAUGCAACGCGAAGAACCUUACCAAGGCUUGACAUAUACCGGAAACUUCCAGAAAUGGUUGCCCCGCAAGGUCGGUAUACAGGUGGUGCAUGGUUGUCGUCAGCUCGUGUCGUGAGAUGUUGGGUUAAGUCCCGCAACGAGCGCAACCCUCGUUCUAUGUUGCCAGCACGUCAUGGUGGGAACUCAUAGGAGACUGCCGGGGUCAACUCGGAGGAAGGUGGGGAUGACGUCAAAUCAUCAUGCCCCUUAUGUCUUGGGCUUCACGCAUGCUACAAUGGCCGGUACAAAGGGCUGCGAUACCGUAAGGUGGAGCGAAUCCCAAAAAGCCGGUCUCAGUUCGGAUUGAGGUCUGCAACUCGACCUCAUGAAGUCGGAGUCGCUAGUAAUCGCAGAUCAGCAACGCUGCGGUGAAUACGUUCCCGGGCCUUGUACACACCGCCCGUCAAGUCAUGAAAGUCGGUAACACCCGAAGCCAGUGGCCUAACCGCAAGGAGGGAG
rnacentral:rRNA from 1 species